AACGCACGAGACCUGCGGACCUGCGGAGGGAUCAUUACCGAAUGGCCUCUGGGCCUUCACAAACCCCAUCAAACCUGUGGACCUCUCAGAGAGAGCGUGCUUCGGCGUCCCCUCGGCUCUGCCCGAGGGACGCCGCCUUCAUGCAGAUAGAUCGUCUUGUCUGAUUUUGAAACCAUGAGAAUUUAAAACUUUCAGCAACGGAUCUCU
rnacentral:misc_RNA from 1 species